rnacentral:rRNA from 1 species
AGCAGUAGCCGCGGGAAUACGAAGGGGGCUAGCGUUGUUCGGAUUUACUGGGCGUAAAGCGCACGUAGGCGGACUUUUAAGUCAGGGGUGAAAUCCCGGGGCUCAACCCCGGAACUGCCUUUGAUACUGGAAGUCUUGAGUAUGGUAGAGGUGAGUGGAAUUCCGAGUGUAGAGGCGAAAUUCGUAGAUAUUCGGAGGAACACCAGUGGCGAAGGCGGCUCACUGGACCAUUACUGACGCUGAGGUGCGAAAGCGUGGGGAGCGAACAGGAUUAGAUACCCGCGUAGUCCCUGUCUCUUAUAC